rnacentral:rRNA from 1 species
CCUACGGGAGGCUGCAGUGAGGAAUAUUGGUCAAUGGCCGAGAGGCUGAACCAGCCAAGUCGCGUGAGGGAAGACGGCCCUACGGGUUGUAAACCUCUUUUGUCGGGGAGCAAAGCGAACCACGUGUGGUUCAUUGAGAGUACCCGAAGAAAAAGCAUCGGCUAACUCCGUGCCAGCAGCCGCGGUAAUACGGAGGAUGCGAGCGUUAUCCGGAUUUAUUGGGUUUAAAGGGUGCGCAGGCGGAGUUGCAAGUCAGCGGUUAAAUGGCGGGGCUCAACCCCGUACUGCCGUUGAAACUGCAUGCCUUGAGUGCGCGAGAGGUAUGCGGAAUGCGUGGUGUAGCGGUGAAAUGCUUAGAUAUCACGCAGAACUCCGAUUGCGAAGGCAGCAUACCGGCGCGCAACUGACGCUGAUGCACGAAAGCGUGGGUAUCGAACAGGAUUAGAUACCCGUGUAGUC